AGUCGAGCGGACAGAUGGGAGCUUGCUCCCUGAUGUUAGCGGCGGACGGGUGAGUAACACGUGGGUAACCUGCCUGUAAGACUGGGAUAACUCCGGGAAACCGGGGCUAAUACCGGAUGGUUGUUUGAACCGCAUGGUUCAAACAUAAAAGGUGGCUUCGGCUACCACUUACAGAUGGACCCGCGGCGCAUUAGCUAGUUGGUGAGGUAACGGCUCACCAAGGCGACGAUGCGUAGCCGACCUGAGAGGGUGAUCGGCCACACUGGGACUGAGACACGGCCCAGACUCCUACGGGAGGCAGCAGUAGGGAAUCUUCCGCAAUGGACGAAAGUCUGACGGAGCAACGCCGCGUGAGUGAUGAAGGUUUUCGGAUCGUAAAGCUCUGUUGUUAGGGAAGAACAAGUACCGUUCGAAUAGGGCGGUACCUUGACGGUACCUAACCAGAAAGCCACGGCUAACUACGUGCCAGCAGCCGCGGUAAUACGUAGGUGGCAAGCGUUGUCCGGAAUUAUUGGGCGUAAAGGGCUCGCAGGCGGUUUCUUAAGUCUGAUGUGAAAGCCCCCGGCUCAACCGGGGAGGGUCAUUGGAAACUGGGGAACUUGAGUGCAGAAGAGGAGAGUGGAAUUCCACGUGUAGCGGUGAAAUGCGUAGAGAUGUGGAGGAACACCAGUGGCGAAGGCGACUCUCUGGUCUGUAACUGACGCUGAGGAGCGAAAGCGUGGGGAGCGAACAGGAUUAGAUACCCUGGUAGUCCACGCCGUAAACGAUGAGUGCUAAGUGUUAGGGGGUUUCCGCCCCUUAGUGCUGCAGCUAACGCAUUAAGCA
rnacentral:rRNA from 1 species